GUGAGAUGUCCUAGGGGUGAGGGCGAAGGGCACUGUGCUGCUCCCGCGCCCUGGACAGGGGCCAAGACCGGCACGGUGCAGGCCUCGGGGCGCUGAAUAAGUCAUGACUGAGCCAGCCAGCCGUCUCCUCCGAGGCGGCUCGGCCACACAGAUGCUAUCUGUCGGGAAGCAGGUGGCACCUGUGCGCCCUUCUCGACAGAUGGCGAGCAGGCCGAGCCUUCCACCUGGCCGCCUCAUGUUUCCAGAGCUGGUCUGGCUCUGCCAGGUCCACACAAGACCCAUGCACCCCACCCUAACUGCGUUUCCUGCCAGGGUCCCCAGCCCAGAGCCCAGGGAGGCUGUGCCCCUGUCCACAGGGCCUUCACCUCUCCUGCACCCCAGGCCUAGAGGGGAAAAUGCCAAGCCCAAAGGAAAGAGAAAAAACGAGAGAACGGAAGCCAGGACCCCAGGCCCUCCUCGCCCCUGUCUCCUGUGACGCUUCUUGUCCUCGGGGUUGAUGGCUAAGCCGCCAUGGGUGCAGCCCUGACUCAUUUCCGGGGGAGGGGAGCCCUUGCAGCCUGGGCAGGCAGCACUGACUGCAGUGGCCUGGGCUGCCCACGUGGCCCGGUGCCUCGUGGAUCCAGGGAUUCCCUGGUAAAAUUACCCUCGGGGCGUUGUGUAUCAGAUGGACUUGGUGAAACUCGGCAGCUGACUCUGGCUAUCACGUCUCUGAGUAGUGUUGGGCCAAAAGUAACGAAAUCUGCGAGGACCAGGUAAGGACACAGCCGGGCUGAGUUACUCCCAGGGGAGGGGCAUGGUUCGUCUGAGAGACGGAAGGAUGGACAGAGGAGGCACAGGGCAGCAGGAACAAGAGUCUCGAGCAGCCUCAAGCACACGUCUCCCAGGGGCUUCUGAUUUUUCCUUCUCCGGGACUCUGGCCAUCCGUCACCUAACCGUGCAGGCUGCUGGCCUCGCCUGUACCUGCGAACCCUCCCAGGCCUCUGCGUGCCAGCCAGGACGUCACAUGGGCAGGUGUGCCUGACCAGAAGGAGGCCACAGGCCUCGGCCCAGCUCUGCAUGCUCCCUGCUGUUGAACCUGGCUCUUGCUGGCUCUGGGCCUCUGCACCCGGCCUGGGAAGUGGUGGCACGUGAGUCCCUCAGGCAAUGACAGGAGUAGUGAGGGCCAGCUGAGUUCUGGGACUGCCUCGUCUAGGACAAGCGGCCCUGGGCACUUCACUGAAUCUGGGCAAGCCUCAGUUUCCUCUCUGGGUCAGGAUAUGGCACGGUGCCUCUCCCGGGGUAGCUGCAAGGAUGGGUGAAGCCAGGCAUCUGUGGGCUGGGGGUCUAUCUCUAGGAGCACUGUGCAGUGCUACUCGGCGCUUCCUGCCUGCCAGGCAGGGACAUGUGCCCACCUGCCGCAGUCCCCAGUGACUCAGAGACAGGCAAUGUGUUUGUCCUGGCUCCACACUAGGAGACCGACACAUAGGGACUGAGAUGCCAGCCCUGGGCUGAAUGGCUGGGCAGAGCCAAGACUCGCUCCUCCCUGGCUCCUCCCUGGCUCCCCAUCCCUCUCGCCACUGCGUGUGCUGGCUCCUCCGCAGGCCCCUCAUUCACCACACUGGGCCCCUUCAUCCUGCUGCUUGGAAGCCCUGGACCCUCUUCUCCAGGCUGCCUGCUCACUCCCAGGGCACCUGCUGGUGGUCACCAUGACAGGAGGCACUGAGCCAGGCAUGAGUGGGCAUGGCUGGGUCACCUGGCUCCUCCUGGGGGAGACACCAGCCCCUACUCCCCCGGUCUCCUCUGUGGUGUGCUCUCCACCUCUGUGCCCCCAACACUGAGCCAAGAAGUCCGCUCAGGGGCUUUUAGUCUCCACGGCCACCCCAGGAGGUGGGCAAGUUAGUGACGAUCGUCCCUGAGGUGGACAAGAACGUCCCUGAGGUGUAUGAGGCAUCAAGCCCAGGGAGGGCAUGCGACACACGAGGCCACACGGCCAAUCCUGGAGGAGCUGGUGCCCAGUUUCCGGCACCCUUGGGCCACAAGGUACAGCCUCCUUUGGGUCUGGGGGCAGGGCUUUUCCAGUGCAGGGUGUGGCCUGGCCCUCAGGGCGUCCCUGCCCUGGGGAAGGCAGAAUGGUCUGCUCCUCUCCCCGCCCUGGCUCAGGGACCUUGGGGGGACCCGGUGUCCUCCCCAGGUCUGAAAAGCAUGAGAGAAAACAAGCCUGAGAGGUCAGAUUCCUUCUCCCUCUUCUACCCAGGAGGCUGUGUGGUCACCUCAAAGGGGUCCUGCAUGGGAACCAAGGGUGGCAGGUGCUACAGGCCCCAGUUCUGCUCCAGUGUUGAAGGCCGGGGGCCUUUUCUGCCACACCCUGGGCGUGUGGGGCUGAGUGUGGUGCACUCUGGGGCCAUGGGACUAGGGUGACGUGGCGUAGCCAUAGCACCUCCAUCCCCACAUGGCCUGCCCCACAGGCCUCAGUCACCCAUCUGGGAAAGGGGCUCCUCACCUGCCAUCAGGGUGGGAGGAGGACAGGACCCCUCAGCUGGGUGCUGCCCACCACAGAGACACCGUGCAGGUCAAGACAGAGGAGUGCUGGGCCCAGGCUGCCCACCCUGAGAGUGCUGUCACCUGGAGAGACCGAGGAGGGGAAAGUGAGCUGCACCAGGACCUCAGGAAAGAGCCAUCCACAGUCACCCUGGUGACACAGAGGCCGCCACCCGCUGUGCUCAGCCCUGGCCUUCAGGCUCUGGCGAACCUGAGCCUGCUUCCAUUCAUCUGCAAAAUGUGAAGAGGGAGAAGCUCCAGCCCCGUGCAGAGCUUCGACCCACGCAGCCCCGGGGUGCAGCCCUGAGUCCAGGCUCACAGGGCCCGGCCAGCACCCUCAGGAGCCCCUGGCUCCCACAGCUGUAACCUCACUGGGCCUCAGCUUCCUGGCGCUGCAGCGAGGACAUCUGCUGGCCCAGCCUGUGGUGCCGAGGUGCUGAGAACUGAGGCGGACAGCACCUGGCACCCAGGCUCCUCACCCCAACCAGCACAGGACCCAGUCAUCAGGUCCCCAUUCACGGGCUCGUGGGAUGUCAGGGCCCAGGCCACACAGCCGAGACGUGAGCCCAAGGCACCUGCGGAGGCAAUGAAGGGAAGCAGCACUGGUGUCUGGGGCCUGACGCCUCCCUGGGCGGGAGUGCCCUCCAUUGGCAAGUGUGCCGAGAGGUGACACGCAGCCCCAAGAGCCCAGGAAACUGAGUCACAGCUGAGACUGGCCGAGGGCCUGCGGUGCACCCAGUGCUUCUUAACCCGGCUCGUCCUCCACACCCACAGGAAGGGUUCGCCCUCUGCUUCCACCAGGGGGAUGGAGAGAUCAGGGCAAAGCCUGGGGCGGUGCACCCAUCGUCCCAGCACUCUGGGAGGCUGAGGCAGGAGGACGGCAAGCUCCAGGGCAGCCAGGGCAGCUCGAGGACUUCAACAAGGCCCUGUCUCAGAACAGGAAAUGAAAACAGGGCUGGGCAUGCGGCUCAGUGUGAAGGCCCUAGGCCCAGUCCCCAUACUGAAAAGUAGAUAAAGCCCACCUCCUCUGCUACACACACUCAUACUCGCAUGUGUGCACACACAAGUAAAUUCAGCCUUGUGCAGCCUGUUGUUAGCAGGGUUUUGUGAUUUUUAAAAAAUGGUCAGAAAUAAACAGGGACCGUCCAGGCCAGAAGGGAGGGACCAGACUUGGGGGGAGGCUGGGCAGGUCUGCAGGAGAGAGGCACACAGGGUCUUGAACAGGAAAUGCAGGGCAAGGAAGACAGCAGGAUGGACACCGGGAAGGCCAGG
rnacentral:lncRNA from 1 species